AAACCAGCACCUCAAGUGGUCAGGAUGAUUAUUGGGCCUAAAGCAUCCGUAGCCAGCUCUGUAAGUUUUCGGUUAAAUCUGUACGCUCAACGUACAGGCUGCUGGGAAUACUGCAGGGCUAGGGAGUGGGAGAGAUAGACGGUACUCGGGAGGAAGUGGUAAAAUGCUUUGAUCUCUCGAUGACCACCUGUGGCGAAGGCGGUCUAUCAGAACACGUCCGACGGUGAGGGAUGAAAGCUGGGGGAGCAAACCGGAUUAGAAACCCCGGUAGUCC
rnacentral:rRNA from 1 species